rnacentral:rRNA from 1 species
ACUCAAAUGAAUAGACGGGGGCCCGCACAAGCGGUGGAGCAUGUGGUUCAAUUCGAUGCAACGCGAAGAACCUUACCUGGGUUUGAAGAGUGGGAGACCGGGCAUGAAAGUGCCCUUCCCCGCAAGGGGCUGCUACUUAGGUGCUGCAUGGCUGUCGUCAGCUCGUGUCGUGAGAUGUUGGGUUAAGUCCCGCAACGAGCGCAACCCUUGUCCUCAGUUACCACCAUUCAGUUGGGGACUCUGAGGAGACCGCCGGUGACAAACCGGAGGAAGGUGGGGAUGACGUCAAGUCCUCAUGGCCUUUAUGUCCAGGGCUACACACGUGCUACAAUGGCCGGUACAAACCGUUGCAAGCUCGCGAGAGUAAGCCAAUCGGAAAAAACCGGUCUCAGUUCGGAUUGCAGGCUGCAACUCGCCUGCAUGAAGCUGGAAUCGCUAGUAAUCGCGGAUCAGCACGCCGCGGUGAAUACGUUCCCGGGCCUUGUACACACCGCCCGU